AUCAAAUAAGCGGAGGAAAAGAAACCAACCGGGAUUGCCUUAGUAACGGCGAGUGAAGCGGCAAAAGCUCAAAUUUGAAAUCUGGUACCUUCGGUGCCCGAGUUGUAAUUUGGAGAGGGCAACUUUGGGGCCGUUCCUUGUCUAUGUUCCUUGGAACAGGACGUCAUAGAGGGUGAGAAUCCCGUGUGGCGAGGAGUGCGGUUCUUUGUAAAGUGCCUUCGAAGAGUCGAGUUGUUUGGGAAUGCAGCUCUAAGUGGGUGGUAAAUUCCAUCUAAAGCUAAAUAUUGGCGAGAGACCGAUAGCGAACAAGUACAGUGAUGGAAAGAUGAAAAGAACUUUGAAAAGAGAGUGAAAAAGUACGUGAAAUUGUUGAAAGGGAAGGGCAUUUGAUCAGACAUGGUGUUUUGUGCCCUCUGCUCCUUGUGGGUAGGGGAAUCUCGCAUUUCACUGGGCCAGCAUCAGUUUUGGUGGCAGGAUAAAUCCAUAGGAAUGUAGCUUGCCUCGGUAAGUAUUAUAGCCUGUGGGAAUACUGCCAGCUGGGACUGAGGACUGCGACGUAAGUCAAGGAUGCUGGCAUAAUGGUUAUAUGCCGCCCGUCUUG
rnacentral:rRNA from 1 species